GUGUCAGCCGCCGCGGUAAGACAGAGGUGGCAAGCGUUGUUCGGAAUUACUGGGCUUAAAGGGCGCGUAGGUGGUGGCAUAAGUCCGAGGUGGAAGACUAAGGCUUAACCUUAGAAUUGCCUUGGAAACUGUAUCACUUGAGUCAGCGAGGGGAUGGCGGAAUUCCAGGUGUAGCGGUGAAAUGCGUAGAUAUCUGGAGGAAGGCCGGUGGCGAAGGCGGCCAUCUGGCGCUGAACUGACACUGAGGCGCGAAAGCGUGGGGAGCAAACAGGAUUAGAAACCCCCGUAGUCC
rnacentral:rRNA from 1 species